rnacentral:lncRNA from 1 species
AGCAUAUUACUCAAUUUAUUCAGGAGAAGGCCAACCAGAUAAAACUCAUUUGAAAAUUGGACUAGCUAAUGUACACAAGUCAGACCAGAAAUUAAAAAAUUGCACUGUCAAAAAGUUGAAUCUCUGAAGCUCCCCAGCUGAUUCACUAGUCUCCCUUCAGACGCUUUUGGAAGAGUGCAAAAGCAAAAGAUGUUACCAUCCCAACCAAAUACCCAGCCAUAGCUCCAUAACUUACACAAAUUGGCCAUUCCUACAAGUAAAUUUGCCCAGCAUCCACAGAUUAAGAGAAAGCAACAAGCCAGG